rnacentral:tRNA from 1 species
AGCAGAGUAGCUUAGUGGAUGGAGCUUGGGCCUGGGAGUCAGAGGACCUGGGUUCUAAUCCCAACUCUGCCA